UAGGGAAUCUUCCACAAUGGACGAAAGUACUGAUGGAGCAACGCCGCGUGAGUGAAGAAGGGUUUCGGUCUCGUAAAACUACUGUUGUUAAAGAAGAACAUAUCUGAGAGUAACUGUUCAGGUAUUGACGGUAUUUAACCAGAAAGCCACGGCUAACUACGUGCCCA
rnacentral:rRNA from 1 species